AGUCAGUCUGCAGUUGUGACCCAGCCGUAGAGGAAGCAAUAUGAGAACACCUCACGGAUAAAGAUCUGACUUAUUCUCCCAUAAGAAGUCAAUCUCAUCUUUGAGAUCACGCCCAGCUCGUUAAAGUUCAGGAACUAUCACCCACAGAGGACAGAAGACUGCUACCAGCGUAAACUUUGUCUCCAGGCAGUGACUGUCAUAAGGGCAAACGCCAACAGUGUUUUCCCAGACUUUUUGUCUCCUUUUGCUCUGCUGCCAUCGAGAAGAGCGUUGAGAGCAGGUAACAGCUGCUCCUGGCUCACAUGGCUAAAAACAGACGUGAAGAGCAGGCGACUCCCAGACGCCUCUGCCUUGGGUGAAGGCCAGUGUGUGUCUAGUAUGACCACUAUCAGGGCUGACUUCUCCUCCAGGCACAGGAAACUCAGCACUUAGACACCACUCUGCUUUUGAGA